rnacentral:rRNA from 1 species
AGCGAACGCUGGCGGCAGGCUUAACACAUGCAAGUCGAGCGGGCCUUUCGGGGUCAGCGGCGGACGGGUGAGUAACGCGUGGGAACGUGCCCUCUGGUUCGGAAUAACUCAGGGAAACUUGACUUAAUACCGGUUACGCCCUUUCGGGGAAGGGCUUGCUGCUGGAGGAUCGGCCCGCGUCUGUUUAGCUAGUUGGUGAGGUACCGGCUCACCAAGGCGUCGUUCAGUAGCUGGUCGGAGAGGAUGAUCAGCCCCACUGGGACUGAGACACGGCCCAGACUCGUACGGGAGGGAGCAGUGGGGAAUAUUGGACAAUGGGCGCAAGUCUGAUACAGCCAUGCCGCGUGAGUGAUGAAGGCCUUAGGGUUGUAAAGCUCUUUUAUACGGGACGAUAAUGACGGUAACGGAGGAAUAAGCCCCGGCUAACUUCGUG